CUCCGUCGCAAUUAUUGCGUAAUCUCCAGCUGCAGUAUUUUUUCCGUUUGCCUCUGAUGACAAACCGACUGCCAGGAAUGAUUUUUCAUCAAAUAGAAUUGUGAAAAACACCUUGAGGAUUGAUUCUAAACAACGUUUGCCAUGUUUCUGUCGAUAUUAUGGAGCUAAUUUGGAAAAAAGUUUGGCGUUGUAAGUGACUGCAUUUUCGUUUUUUUUUCUUAACCAAACGUGAUGAACAAAACGGAGCUAUUUCUCUUACACAAAUAAUAUUUUUGGAAAAAAUGAACAUUUGCUAUAUAACUGAGAGUCUCGUCAUUGAAAACAUCCGAAGUUCUUCAAAGAAAACCGUUACAGAACCACCCACCACAACAGGAACAAGCAGCGUGGUAACAGGCAGCGGCAGCAGGAGCAGCGCAAGAAGGAGGAAUGGACAUGGUAGGACGAGUUGGACGGAAAAGGUCCCAGGGCAGAGCCAGGGGAAUAUCGCCGCUCAAAAGCAGAGCUGGAGGCAGCGAAAGCAGAGAGGCUGCAUUAUGAGGAGCCAGCUGGAAGCCCGGGAGGCAGCCCCCAAAAUUUCCAAGGAUGGAAUCAGAGCAGUCGGUGAAGUUGAGGUGUGCGUCUGAGAAUGUGGAAGAGUUAUUGGACAAAUUGGUGGAGAGUGAACGGAGGGGAGAUUAUGAGACAUUCGAGGAGGUGUUGAUGAAAUUGGAGGAGAGUGACGAGAGAGAGCUGUCGGUUUGGCGCAGUAUGCACGGCACUCGUCCUGAGGUGCGUGCUAGCCGUCUGGUUAAGACUGUGCCAGCCUCACGCACCAGGCCUCCUGUGCACCUCCCUAGCCCUGCACAUCCUGUGCCAGCUCAGCGCUACAGUGCUCCUAGCCGUGCUAACCGUGGCGGGCGUUGUACUGGUCAGGCACCGUGUUAUGCGGUGGAACGCACGGAGUCCCCAGUACGCGUGCUUAGCCCGGUGCGCUACAUCCCAGCUCCCCACAUCUGCCGGGCUAGGGUGAAGAUAUAUUUAGGUAGCCUGUUUUAUGUUGGGUUUUGUGGGUGGUUGUCUUCUGUCUUUGUGUCAUUGCACCAGACAGGACUGUUUCGGUUUUCACAUUUGUUGUUUUGUAUUGUGUAGUGUUCUCGUGUAUGGUCUUUAUUAAACAUGUUGAACUCUAACCACGCUGCAUUUUGGUCCUCCUCUCCUUCAAUGGAAGAAAACCGUUACAG
ensembl:lncRNA